rnacentral:rRNA from 1 species
CGGGUCGUAAAGUUCUGUCCUAAGGGAAGAUAGUGACGGUACCUUAGGAGGAAGCCCCGGCUAACUACGUGCCAGCAGCCGCGGUAAUACGUAGGGGGCGAGCGUUGUCCGGAUUUACUGGGUGUAAAGGGUGCGUAGGCGGCCUUUCAAGUCAGAUGUGAAAGGUCACGGCUUAACUGUGGUAAGCAUUUGAAACUGUCAGGCUUGAGUGCAGGAGAGGAAAGUGGAAUUCCUAGUGUAGCGGUGAAAUGCGUAGAUAUUAGGAAGAAUAUCAGUGGCGAAGGCGGCUCUCUGGACUGCAACUGACGCUGAGGCACGAAAGCGUGGGGAGCAAACAGGAUUAGAUACCCUGGUAGUCCACGCCGUAAACGAUGAGUGCUAGGUGUUGGGGGUCAAACCUCGGUGCCGCAGCUAACGCAUUAAGCACUCCGCCUGGGGAGUACGGACGCAAGUAUGAAACUCAAAGGAAUUGACGGG